rnacentral:tRNA from 1 species
UUUUUGAUAGCUUAAACUAAAGCAAUAAACUUUUAAUUUAUUAAUGGAUAAAUCCUCUUUCAAAGAA